GACGAACGCUGGCGGCGUGCUUAACACAUGCAAGUCGAACGGAAAGUGCUCUUCGGAGUGACUCGAGUGGCGAACGGGUGAGUAACACGUGGGUGAUCUGCCCUGCACUUUGGGAUAAGCCUGGGAAACUGGGUCUAAUACCGAAUAUGAUCAUGCUCUUCAUGGGGUGUGGUGGAAAGCUUUUGCGGUGUGGGAUGGGCCCGCGGCCUAUCAGCUUGUUGGUGGGGUAAUGGCCUACCAAGGCGACGACGGGUAGCCGGCCUGAGAGGGUGUCCGGCCACACUGGGACUGAGAUACGGCCCAGACUCCUACGGGAGGCAGCAGUGGGGAAUAUUGCACAAUGGGCGCAAGCCUGAUGCAGCGACGCCGCGUGGGGGAUGACGGCCUUCGGGUUGUAAACCUCUUUCAGCACAGACGAAGCGCAAGUGACGGUAUGUGCAGAAGAAGGACCGGCCAACUACGUGCCAGCCGCCGCCGUAA
rnacentral:rRNA from 1 species